UCUUUUGAACAUUUUCCAAAGAUGGAAACGAGACAAACAUGUCGGCAAACUUCAGAUUUAUUGGGAGCCUGAGGUUUGGCCCAUCACUAAUUCGCUCUCUGGUUCGCUCCCAGUCGCUCACGAAGCGGCUCAGUGAGCAGUGGCCAUCUUGGAUUUUGUUUUCUAUAACUCUAGUUCAUUGGGUUGGUCGGCCAUUGAGCGUCGAGAGUCGAAACUGAUGUCAUCAUUCAUAACCUGCCGAGUGUCGAAAGUUUUUACACUAUUGCAUUAUUAAUUAUAUUUAUAUCACCAAAAUGUUUUCAAUUUAGACUUUUUAUGUAGGGUUUAAUAACAAAUUGCAGCCAGUGUUGUAAAGUGUUGACCAAUCUUGACUACAAGAUCCAUCCCACCAAAGUGUUUUGAAUUUAAGCUUUUUAUGCAGAGCUUGUACAAAUGAAGGGAACCACAGACGUGGAGGUUAUUCGUUAACAAAUGUCAGCAACUGUUGUGAAAUGUUUAUCCAUUUUCAGUACUAGGUAGAAACAACAUUGCAGGUAUACAUAAUUAUUUAUAAGUUGAACGAAUAAGUGUUUAUAAUUAAUAAAUUAUAUGAAAUAUUUA